GUUGUGGCUCAGUGGUAGAGUGCUUGCCUAGCAAGUGUGAGGCACUGGGUUCAAUCCUCAACAUGACA
rnacentral:tRNA from 1 species